rnacentral:rRNA from 1 species
ACGAACGCUGGCGGCGGGCUUAACACACUGCAAGUCGCAGGGCAAGCCGGAGCAAUCUGGCCCAGACUGGCGCACGGGUGAGUAACACGUAGGCAACCUGCCACCGGGAGGGGGACAACACGGCGAAAGCCGUGCUAAUACCGCAUAAUGCAGCGGGGCCGCAUGGCCACCGCUGCCAAAGGGGAAACCUGCCUGGUGAUGGGCCUGCGUCGCAUUAGCUAGUUGGUAGGGUAAUGGCCUACCAAGGCGAUGAUGCGUAGCUGUUCUGAGAGGAUGAUCAGCCACACGGGGACUGAGACACGGCCCCGACUCCUACGGGAGGCAGCAGUGAGGAAUCUUGCGCAAUGGACGAAAGUCUGACGCAGCCACGCCGCGUGCAGGACGAAGGCCCUACGGGUCGUAAACUGCUUUUGUCAGGGAAGAAACCGCGGGAUUUGUCCCGCGCUGACGGUACCUGUCGAAUAAGCACCGGCUAACUCCGUGCCAGCAGCCGCGGUAAUACGGAGGGUGCAAGCGUUGUCCGGAAUCAUUGGGUGUAAAGGGUGCGCAGGCGGACUGCUAAGUCUGGGGUGAAAGACCACGGCUCAACCGUGGAAGGUCCCUGGAUACUGGUGGUCUUGAAUAUGAGACAGGCCGGUGGAAUUCGAGGUGUAGCGGUGAAAUGCAUAGAUAUCUCGAAGAACACCAGUGGUGAAGACGGCCCGGCUGGAUCAUUAUUGACGCUCAGGCACGAGAGCGUGGGGGAGCAGACAGGAUUAGAUACCCUGGUAGUCCACGCCGUAAACGAUGGAUACUAGGUGUCGUGGCUUUCGGGCUGCGGUACCGCAGCUAACGCGUUAAGUAUCCCACCUGGGGAGUACGCCCGCAAGGGUGAAACUCAAAGGAAUUGACGGGGGCCCGCACAAGCGGUGGAGCAUGUGGCUUAAUUCGAUGCAACGCGAAGAACCUUACCCGGGCUAAAUCAUGCGUGACGUACUUGGAAACAGGUAGUCCCUUCGGGGCACGCAUGAAGGUGCUGCAUGGCUGUCGUCAGCUCGUGCCGUGAGGUGUUGGGUUAAGUCCCGCAACGAGCGCAACCCCUAUGGCCAGUUACCAGCGAGUAAUGUCGGGGACUCUGGUCAGACUGCCCACGCAAGUGGAGAGGAAGGUGGGGACGACGUCAAGUCAUCAUGGCCCUUACGUCCGGGGCUGCACACGUGCUACAAUGGGCGCCACAGAGGGAAGCCAUGCCGCAAGGCAGCGCGAAUCUCCAAAGGCGUUCUCAGUUCGGAUCGGGGUCUGCAACUCGACCCCGUGAAGUUGGAAUCGCUAGUAAUCGCGUAUCAGCUACGACGCGGUGAAUACGUUCCCGGGCCUUGUACACACCGCCCGUCAAGCGAUGGGAGUGCGUAGUGCCUGAUGUCGCCGUGCUAACCGAAAGGGGGCAGGCGCCUAGGGUAAGACGCAUGACUGGCGCUA